CUCCUUCAUCUUCUCUGUAACGCCAGGGGGUCCUUCGCUCCUCUCUAUAAAACUGCGACACUCCAAACCAUUCCUAGAACCAAACGGUAGCAACACAAACCCUAGGGUUUCGUGCUCAACAUAUUCGUAAAUUUAUGAAUAUCAAAACCCUAGUUGUUUCUAAUACCCAUUAAAGAUUGCUAUCGAUCUUCUUCCCUCUCCAUCAAGGUAAGCCUUACAGAUCUCUUAUUAUCUGUCUGUCUCCUUGGCAUUCCAAUUGCAACCCUUUAUUUGUUUUCUCUACUUUGUCCUUCAAUCUGCCCGUCUACGACUCCCGGGGGGCUACUUGGGCUGCAUGCCAAUUCAAGUUCUUUUUGAGCAAUUUUAUUUGGGAUUCUUUCACUAUUCAUGAGCUAGAAAAGUGUGAAAAUUUGAGAGGGAGUUUUAGAAGGGUUUGGAGUUUAUUCUAGGGUUUUUACUGCCAUGGACGAUCUUGAGAAGGCGAUAUUGAUCAGUUUUGAUGAAUCGGGGGCAAUUGAUUCGGAGUUGAAAUCGCAAGCAGUGGCUUUUUGCCAGCAAAUAAAGGAAACCCCGUCAAUCUGUAGCUUGUGCAUUGAGCGCCUGUGCUUUUCUAAACUCGUGCAAGUCCAGUUCUGGUGCUUGCAGAGUCUACAUGAGGCUAUACGUGUGCGAUACUCGUCAAUGAGUUUAGAUGAGAAGUCUUUCGUAAGGAACUCUGUGUUCUCAAUGGCAUGCUUUGAAGGUCUUGAUGAUAAGAACUCUGGUAGACUAUUGGACACUCCGCCAUUUAUCAGGAACAAGCUUGCCCAAGUUUUGGUCACUUUAAUUUACUUUGAAUACCCAAUAAUUUGGUCAUCUAUAUUUACCGAUUUUCUUCCUCAUUUGAGCAAGGGUGCGGCGGUGAUAGAUAUGUUUUGUCGGGUUUUGAAUGCACUGGAUGAUCAAUUGAUUAGUUUGGACUACCCCCGCAGUGCUGAAGAGAUGACAGUUGCCGGCCGAGUUAAGGAUGCAAUGAGGCAUCAGUGCGUAGCUCAGAUAGUUAGAGCAUGGUACGACAUUGUAUCUAUGUAUAGAAAUUCUGAUCCCGAACUCUGUGCUAGUGUCUUGGACACUAUGAGGAGAUACAUUUCUUGGAUUGAUAUUGGGUUAAUUGUGAAUGAUGCUCUUAUGCCUUUACUGUUUGAAUUGAUUUUGGUUGAUGGGUCGUCUGAACAACUUCGAGGUGCAGCAGCAGGCUGUGUUUUGGCUGCAGUUUCUAAGCGCAUGGAUCCUCAAAACAAGCUUCGCCUUUUACAAAGCCUUCAAAUCAGUCGGGUUUUUGGUUUAGUAGGUGGGGAUAAUGAUUCUGAAUUGGUUUCGAGGAUAGCUGCAUUACUUAUUGGAUAUGCUACUGAAGUUCUGGAAUGUUCUAAGCGUUUGACUUCCAAUGACAGUAAGGGAAUUUCAAUUGAACUACUGAAUGAAGCAUUGCCCUCAGUUUUCUAUGUAAUGCAAAAUUGUGAGGUUGAUGUCCAAUUCAGUACUGUGCAAUUCCUCUCCGGUUAUGUUGCAAACAUGAAGAGCCUUUCUCCACUUGGAGAGAAACAGUUGUUUCAUGUGGGCCAGAUAUUGGAAGUGAUUCGUGAACAAAUUCUUUAUGAUCCUAUUUAUCGCAAUAAUAUUGAUUUACUAGAUAAGAUUGGUAGAGAAGAGGAAGAUAGGAUGACAGAGUUGCGGAAGGAUUUAUUUGUAUUGCUUCGUAGCGUGGGUCGUGUAGCUCCUGAUAUUACUCAGAUAUUUAUCAGAAAUUCAUUGGCUAGUGCUGUUGCAUCUAAUUCUGAUAGGAAUGUUGAAGAGGUAGAAGCCGCACUUUCUCUUUUCUAUGCGCUUGGGGAGUCAAUAAGUGAUGAGGCAAUCCGAAGUGGAAGUGGACAAUUGAAAGAAUUGGUGCCAAUGAUUUUGUCAACAAGGUUUCCUUGCCAUUCCAAUAGGCUGGUUGCACUUGUGUAUUUGGAGACAAUAACACGAUAUAUGAAGUUUGUUCAGGAGAAUACCCAAUAUAUACCAAUGGUUUUGGCUGCCUUUCUUGAUGAAAGAGGUAUACACAAUCCAAAUGUCAAUGUGAGUAGGAGAGCAAGUUACCUUUUCAUGAGGGUUGUCAAAUUGCUCAAAGCAAAGCUUGUCCCUUUCAUAGUGACUAUUUUGCAGAGUUUGCAAGACACUGUUGCUCGAUUUACAAGUAUGGAAUGUAUGUCAAAAGAACUCUCAGCAUCUGAAGAUGGCAGUCACAUAUUUGAGGCUAUUGGCUUAUUAAUUGGGAUGGAAGAUGUGCCUCUGGAAAAGCAAUCUGAUUAUCUCUCUUCAUUGCUGACUCCGCUUUGUCAACAGGUUGAGGCUUUGCUUAUAAAUUUUAAAGUGCAAAAUCCAGAAGAAUCUCCUGCCAAAAUUGCAAACAUCCAGCAAAUAAUCAUGGCAAUUAAUGCACUAAGCAAGGGUUUUAGUGAGCGUCUUGUAACUGCUAGUCGCCCUGCAAUAGGUCUUAUGUUCAAGCAGACCUUGGAUGUUCUCCUCCAAAUUCUUGUUGUAUUUCCAAGGAUAGAGUCUCUGAGAAGUAAGGUCACAUCAUUUAUUCAUCGCAUGGUGGACACUUUGGGAGCAUCAGUGUUUCCUUACCUCCCAAAGGCAUUGGAGCAAUUGCUGGCAGAAAGCGAGCCAGUAGAAUUGGUGGGCUUUCUCUUAUUAAUCAAUCAGCUUAUUUGCAAAUUUGGCACUUUGGUGCAUGACAUAUUGGAGGAAAUAUUUCCACUUGUUGCUGGUAGGAUAUUUAAUAUACUCCCAGGAGACGUGGUUUUAUCAGGCCCUGGAAGCAAUACUGAGGAAAUUCGUGAAUUGCAAGAGCUUCAAAAAAUAUCAUGCACAUUUCUUCAUGUCAUAACCACCCAUGAUUUGUCUUCAGUGUUUCUUUCUCCAAGAAGUAGAUGUUACCUGCAUUCUAUGAUGGAAUUGCUGUUGUAUACUGCUUGUAAUCACAAGGAUACUACUGUAAGAAAGGCGUGUGUUCAAAUCUUUAUCAGACUCAUCAAAGAUUGGUGCAACAGACCUUAUGGUGAAGAAAAGGUACCUGGUUUCAGGAGUUUUAUAAUUGAGGCCUUUGCAACCAACUGUUGUUUGUACAGUGUGCUUGACAAGUCCUUCGAGUUUCAUGAUGCAAAUACUCUUAUUUUGUUUGGAGAAAUAGUAAUGGCACAGAAGGUCAUGUAUGAGAAGUUCGGUGAUGAUUUUAUCAUUCAGUUUGUGUCCAAGGGUUUCCCAAAUGCACAUUGCCCUCGAGAGUUGGCAGAACAAUAUUGUCAAAAAUUGCAGGGCAGUGAUCUGAAGGCGUUGAAAUCAUUCUACCAGUUGCUCAUUGAAAAUCUGAGAUUACAACAGAAUGGAAGCCUUGUUUUCAGAUAGCAUUUUCACAGCAUGCUAAUCUGAUCAGAUUGCUAAAUUCUCUUUGCUUUUCUUGUUUUCAUUACUUGUUUCACUCCAUUUUUGUCCCCAAAGGGUUCUUUCUGUACAUAAUAUUUUGUGUGACUAUCCCAUGGACAGUGAGGUGUAAAUUUCCGGAUGUGUUUUUUUUUGAAUGUGAAAUAGUUGGAGUCGUCCAUCAGUUUUGGGGUGUCGAGUAUAUGAUCAUUGUGUUAAAUAAAGCAGCUCUAUGCUCAUUUUUCUGCUGUUCCCUGUUUGAUGUCUAUCCAUUUUUUUCUUUCCGGAUGUGGCUUCAAAAUAAUUUUAAUGGUUGUGCAUCCAUCGGCGAAGGUUCCAGGGUAGUGUGUCUUAUUAACCUUUUUUCUGAUGUUCCCUUUUUAAUGUCUACCUUCUGGAUGUGCCUUCAAAAGUUUCCUGCGGUUGCGAGGAGAUAAAAGCUUUGCCUGUCUUGUAUAUGAAUAGCUUCUUAUGUGGGCUUGGAAUUUCCAUUUAACUUCUUGGUUUAUUAUGCGAUUUUCUUCCCCAGACCGAAGACCUAAAUUAGUCUAAUCCAUAUUUUGGCUGAGGGCAUUUUGUGGAAUGUAAAUUGAGUAUGGAACCAUGGUGCAUUUGUGUUUGGAGAAAUAUAUGCCUUGCAUUCCGG